rnacentral:piRNA from 1 species
UUCAUAGCGUUUUUUUCACAA